rnacentral:rRNA from 1 species
UACGUAGGGCGCAAGCGUUGUCCGGAAUUAUUGGGCGUAAAGAGCUCGUAGGCGGCUUGUCACGUCGGGUGUGAAAGCCCGGGGCUUAACCCCGGGUCUGCAUUCGAUACGGGCAGGCUAGAGUGUGGUAGGGGAGAUCGGAAUUCCUGGUGUAGCGGUGAAAUGUGUAGAGAUCCGGAGGAACACCAGUGGUGCAGACGGCGCCCUGGGUCCGAACUGACGCUGAAGCACGAAAGCGUGGGGAGCGAACGGG